rnacentral:rRNA from 1 species
UCGAUGACAAUAUAGUAUAACAUCAAAAAAAAUAAAAAAGUAAUUCAAAGGGGUUAUUAAGGAUAGCACAAGCAAAUUUAUAAAAAAGGAGGUGUCAACCAAAUGCUUUCAUAAUAUUAAAUUAUUUAUCGUGAAAGCGAUCCUAAGGGAAACCUUUUAAUUAAUACUUCCUGAAGUAAAACAUUUUAGUAAGGAAAGGAAAGGAAAUCAACCGAGACUCCGAAAGUAAUGGUGAGUGAAAUCGGAUUAGCCUAAGAUUAUCUUUUAUAAAUUGAAAAAAUUAACUCUUUUUUAUAAUAUUCUUAAUUAAAUUUAUACCAAUAAACUUAAAUAAGUAAUAUGAAAUCAAGAACUUAAUUUACAAAUAAUUUUAUUUCAAAUAAAAAAAAUUUGUUCAAAGAAGGUUAAAAACAAUAAGUCCUGUAGAUUUAUAAAAAAAUAAUAUAAUAAGUACGAUGAGAGUUAACUUGUCGGAAUAUAGGGGAACCAUCCUCUAAGGCUAAGUAUUAUAAAUUUAGCGAUAGUGAAAAAGUACUGUAAAGGAAAAGUUUGAAAAGCAAUGGUUUAAAGAAACAUAAGAGUAAUUAUUAAAAUUUAAAUAAUAUCUAAAAAAUAUUAAAAUUUAAUAAAUGCCGGUGAAAAAGAUCUUGAAUUAGUAACUCUAUAAGCAGUCGAAAUUUAAAAAAAAAAAUGACGGCGUACCUUUUGCAUAAUGGGUCAGCAAGUUAAUAGGAGUAGCAAGGUUAAAAGCCCUAGCGAAAGCGACUGGACUAUACUUAUAAAAAAUCUCAAAUUUUUUCAUAAACAAAUAUAGUGAUGGAUAAGUUACUUCUAUUAGACCCGAAGCCAGGUGAUCUUACUAAGACCAGAUUAUAAUGGAUCGAACGGGUGAAUGUUGCAUAAUUCUCCGAUGAGUUUUAGUAAGCGGUGAAAUGCCAAUCUGACCUGGUGCUAUCUGGUUUUCUACCGAAACAUAUUUAAGUAUGACAUCUACACAAAAUUUAUGGAGGUACAGCAAGGCAAUUCCCAACAAGUAUAAGAGAAAUUAAUUAAAAAAAAUUUCGUCUUUUAGGCGUUUAGGUUGUGGGGACCUCGAAAAUCUUACCUAUGGAAGCGAAUCUCGGAAGUACAUAAAUUGAUGGUAGAUAUUCAGACUAUCCAUGCUAAGUUGGAUAGUCAAGACGGAAACAGCCGAGAACAUUGAUCAAGGUCCCAAAUGAUUAUUAAGUGAAAUUAAGGAUGUUUAAAAUCGGAUACAGCUGUGAAGUGAGCUUGGAAGUAGCUUCUUAUAAUGAUCGUAUGUAACAACGCAUCAGCAGUCUAGAUUGUAGCGCCGAAAAUUUAACGGGUCUUAAAUAAUCAACCGAUAUCGUGUUGGUUUUAAAUAAUAAUAAAAAUAAAAAAUAAAAAUUAAUAAAUAAAUAAAUAAAAUAAAAAGUUUUUCUUUUUUAAAUUCUUAUUUUAAACCUAGGUAGUAGAACAUUCAGUCAAACUAUUUAUAAAACAGUGUUUCAUUGUUUUUAGGUAACUGAAGAGAGAAUGCUGACAUGAGUAACGUAAAAAGAAGUUAUAAUACUUCUCGCCGAAUACGAAAGGGUUGUAAGUGAAAGGUUAAUCCGCCUUACGUGAAUGCGGCCUCUAAGGACUAGAACGAAAGUUUUGGCUGAUGAGUAUAUAAUAGAAAAUCCAUUUUUUGGAUCAGGAAAUUAAUAUGAGAUAAAAUUUUAUUUUAUCUGUAAGAACUUAAUUUUAUUUUUAAUAGGUCUAAAUUUUACAAAUUUUAUAGUAACCUUUAUUCUUUUUAUUUUUAAAUAAAAAAAUAGAAAAAUAAAAUUAAGACUACCGUACCCUAAACCGACACAGGUUCGUAGGUAGAGAAUACUAAGGCGUAGAGCUAAAAGUUGUUAAGGAACUCGGCAAAUUAACCUCAUAAGUUUGACGACAAGAGGUACCGCAUAUUAUUAAAAAUAAAUCUUAAAUAGUAAAAUAUCUAAUAUUUAUUCUUUUUAUAAGGCGGUGACACAUAAUCGGAGGCCCCGACUGUUUACUAAAAACACAGAUCACAGCAAUCAUGUAAAUGAUAGUAUUGUGGUCGAAAUUUGCCCGAUGCCAUUAAUAUAAGAGAGGUUAUAGUUUCUGUGACUAAUCGAAAGUCUGGUUAAUAGCGGUCUUAACUAUGAGGAUCCUAAGGUAGCAAAAUAAAUUGGCCAUUAAAUGUGGUCCGGUAUCAAUAAUGUAACGAGGGCCUCACUGUCUCUACAACUUGCUCAGUGAAAUUGAAUUACCCGUGCAGAUGCGGGUUACCUCCAGGGGGACGGGAAGACCCUAUGCAGCUUUACUGUAGUUAGUUAUCAUAUUAAUCUACAACAACCUUUGUUACUAGAGAAUAGGUAAGUCGAUAGACUAUUUGUGGAAACCUUAAAACUUAGGUUGGGUUAAUGUUUACCUUUAUAUAAAAUAAAAACUUAAAAGGGAGAGGUUACUAAUUGGCAGUUUGACUGGGGCGGUCGUCUUUAAUAGAGUAGCAAAGUACAUCCAAAUAUUUAAAUUAUUAUAAUGUUUUAGUUUAAAUUUAGUUUUCUGGAUUUAAAUUAUUUUACAUUUCAAACAAAUAAAAUAUAAAAUUAUAUUAUAUUUUUUAUAUUAAUAUCUUUCAUAUACUUUUGUAUGUUGUAAAGAAAUACACAAAAAAUUAAAAAAGGUAUAGCUAGAAAUUGAAUGGAGAUCAAUCAACCAGUGAAAGGUUGUGCAGGGCUCAAUGGCGGUAAGCAUGCUUAACUGAAAGACCUAAAAGUCGCACAGAUACGUAAGUAGGGCAUAGUGACCCCUCGCUAUAAUAUGGGAUAGACGGGGAUCAAUUGAUAAAAGUUACGCUAGGGAUAACAGGCUGAUAGCCGACGAGAGUACACAUUGUCUCGGCUGAUUGGCACCUCGAUGUCGACUCAUCCUAUCCUCCGGGGGAAGAAGCUUGGAAGGGUUCGGCUGUUCGCCGAUUAAAAGGGUACGCGAGUUGGGUUUAAUACGACGUGAGUCAGUAUGGUCCCUAUCUUCUGGAGGAAGAAAUAGUAAAAAGGGGCAGACCUUCUAGUACGAAAGGAUCAAUAGGCUGUGUUUCUCUAGUGUACCAAUUGUUUGUACUAACUUUUUUGUUAGGGACCUGUUUUAAAUGUAAUAGGAAAAGUCCUUUUAUAAUUUAUAUUAAGCAAAUAAAUUAUACUUUCUUUUUAAAUAUACUGUUUUUAAAUCUUUAAGUGCGAAACAGUUAAAAGAGUUGAAUAAAAAGGCUACAAGAAAUUAGGAAUGCAUAGUUGGGUAGCCACAAACAUAAUAGAUAAGUGCUGAAUGUCUAUCAAGCAAGAAUCUAACCCCUAGAUACUAAAACGAU